rnacentral:snRNA from 1 species
UCUUUAAACGAGAGCGCUUAU